CCUCCUUCAGCCUCCCGAGGAGCUGGGACUGCAGGCAUGUGCCAACAUGAUCACUAAUACAACAAAAUAGAAUUUCUUGUGCUUUCUUCCUGCUGGGUCCCCGUGGCCGUCAAGUGCUCUGUGGUGUGCCCCUCCUGCCUCAGUCUGGCGACCACUGCCCCACACUGGUACUGUAAGCGUGCUAGCCUUGCCUGCCUGCCUGCCCCCACCACCAGAGAUUUCUAAGCUUCUUAAGAGCAACAGCUGUGCCUUGUCCUUCUCAUCCCUCCCAAGCACCUAACCCAGGGUGAGCUAAGCUCAGCUGCUCCAUGACACUGGCUUCAGGAACUGCCUGUGAACAGCCAAUAAGCCCUAUAAUUUGCAGAUGUCCAUGCGGACCCAGCGUAGGUGGGACACAGUGAAGAAUAAAGCCCAGAUCCCAUUCCUGAGGCUGUCUGAGGUACUGGGAUGAGAGGUGUUUGCAAGACAUGCCAUACAGUUCAGGGUAGAGAGAAGCAAGAGCUGCUGGAGAAAUACUCGCGGAGUGCUGUGGGAGACCGGAGCAAAGAUGCUUCCUGCUGGUUCAUGCUGCCUGGGACUGAGAAAGGCUUCCUGGAGGAGGUGGCAUUCUGCUCAGUGGUAUAGGCUUUUGUACUAUGGCAGCAAGAGGAAAAGGACUAAGAAAAGGUGAUGAGGUGAAGCUUUGGAGAUGCCAUCAAAGAGGAGCACCCAUCAGGGGAAAAGUACAGAGGGAGGAAGAAGGGCAAAGACCUCUCAAGGACAAACAAAAAUCCACAGGUGGUGGCCUGGGAUGUGACAGUAGCACUCGCUACAGUAUUCCAGAUACACUGGGUUUUUGGUAAUACUUUUUACCCAGCUGGGGGAAAAGGCCAUUAGUUGCCAACUCACAGAUGUUCUUCCUGUUCCUCCCAUACCCCAAACACAACCCUGCCUUUGGGCCCUUGCGCUAGCUUCCCUCUGACUAAAAUGCUCUGCCCCGAGGGUCACCCAGCUGGGCCCCAUGCCCUGCAGGGCUCCACACAGAAGCUAUCUCCUCAGAGGCCUUCUCUGACCAUCUGAUCCCAGGGCGCCCAGGGCACUCUCCAGCACAGCACCCUUCUGCAUUUUUGUCUCAGUCCUAAACACACCCUGAUGUUGUCUCAUUUAUUUUUAUGGUGAUUUGUUUACUAUCUGUCUCCCCCACUCCACCCACCACCUCCACACUAGACUAUAAGGGUCAGGGCUGCUGUGAUCACUGACCUUAAAAACGGAGUGAGUAGCUUCACCCUGGUCCUCUUAAAGUACUUUGUUAUAAAGGCUAGUUUGAUGAAAUGGCCUCACUUGAGAUGACCUCAAAACCACUUAAUGGAAAAAGAGAGGGGGGGAGUGAGACAGAAAUAUAAAAGAGUGGGAUUGCUCCAAUGAAACUUGAUGUGUGAGGUUACCAGGCAGUUUUAGUUUAAUGCCUAUUUCAAUCUACUUUGCCUCAUUUCUUUAGCUUCAGUUAAAAAAAAAAAAAAAAACUUACUGUGCUUCAUGUACCUCUCAAA